AAGUUUAGUCUGGACUAUUUCUUGCUGCACAAAGCUGUCAUUACAUUUGGAUUUGAGGGCAAUGGGACAAUGUGCGGUUUCCCUACUAAUAACUCCAGGUCUUGGUGACCUUCGAUCUUCGACUCCAGAGACUGUCGGGGUUUUUGCUGGAGCUGCCUCUGGAGUACAACACUGACAGCCUUACAGCUUUUUUUCUGUGCUUCUGCAAGAAAACAGCAAAGUUAAUUGAGAAAAUAGGGCAAAUUGGCAAAUACAGAGCUGAUGAUAUUCCA